GCUGUCGCGCCAUUCUGCCGGCAUGGCAUUUCGCCGGCAGCAGGGGCUAACCGUGCCAUGGUUGUGGGGGUUAGUUCGUGCCGUGCAGCGAGAUGAGGCUGUCGCCCGGCUAUAAGGGCGCAGCGCCGGCCUGUACCGGCGCUGCUUUCUCGUUACUCCCAACUGUGCAUAGGUUUACUCUUAUGUGCACCAACAACGGAUCGACGUCUGUAACGAACUCUGGUGGACAGCGCACUGGGUUCCGGAAGUCAUCUGUUGGGGCGUCUUCGGGUUGCAGCCAAGUCUAGGCGCGCAGGCGCAUAGCAACGUCACUCUAGCCCAAGCAACCACGUAUCACCGUCAGCUGAGCUGCCAAACGGACGAGUUAGGCGAGGAGACAGCCGCCGGCUUCGCAAGUCUCGGAUACCGGUUCUCGAGCACGCUGCUCGGGCAGCCUGCGGAGGCGCCGGUCGGCCUAUCCUGCAGCCACCAAGUAACGAGAAAGCAGCCGGCAACUACAGCUGUGGUGACGGCGACGUGGGAGCUCGCGGCGAGCCGACAACAUCACCGACGCUCGGGGACGCCUCCAUUAGUCCUGCUUAGCUGCAUUAUGGAAACUUUGCCAUGUAUUGACACUCUUGGCUGCAGAAGAGUUGUCUUUCCGUGUUUGGUAGCACUGGCCACUGUGGGCAACGGGCCUAGAGAGUUCUCUAAACAGUAGAAGAAUUCCAACAGUGAGGAUCCUGGCCAUUCAUGGAGAGCGGCUUUAUGGAGUUAUUGAGCCGCGUUGAGGGUGGUGAAUGGACAUGGACAUGCUCGGCGGACUGUGCGAGACUGCUUGCGAGUGGUCCUUGUAUGUUGUCAUUGUGACAUGUCCACGGUGGUUCUGGAUGCGCGUCUGACAUCGCCGGGGACGUAAGCUGGGGGGACCGCGUGCCCGCGGUUUUGUGUGCCCCGCAGCCGGUGGCCGGAGACAAGCGUCACAUUCAGGCGUGCCCUUGAGACGAGCUGCACAUAGAAGCUACUCACCUGGAUGCUGAUGAGCUGUGUGGGGCUUUCGGGCGCGUUUGAGCCCCUUUCGCUAUGGACUUGUGGACAGGCGGUCACACAUGGUGACAGCCUCGGGACUGCAAGUAUUCGUCCUCUCUGCUGUGGGGGGAAGUGGUGUGACCGGUGGCGGCGCCGUGCAAAGCCGGCAGAAUGACACGACAGCUGUCGCGCCAUUCUGCCGGCAUGGCAUUUCGCCGGCAGCAGGGGCUAACCGUGCCAUGGUUGUGGGGGUUAGUUCGUGCCGUGCAGCGAGAUGAGGCUGUCGCCCGGCUAUAAGGGCGCAGCGCCGGCCUGUACCGGCGCUGCUUUCUCGUUACUCCCAACUGUGCAUAGGUUUACUCUUAUGUGCACCAACAACGGAUCGACGUCUGUAACGAACUCUGGUGGACAGCGCACUGGGUUCCGGAAGUCAUCUGUUGGGGCGUCUUCGGGUUGCAGCCAAGUCUAGGCGCGCAGGCGCAUAGCAACGUCACUCUAGCCCAAGCAACCACGUAUCACCGUCAGCUGAGCUGCCAAACGGACGAGUUAGGCGAGGAGACAGCCGCCGGCUUCGCAAGUCUCGGAUACCGGUUCUCGAGCGCGCUGCUCGGGCAGCCUGCGGAGGCGCCGGUCGGC
rnacentral:lncRNA from 1 species